rnacentral:misc_RNA from 1 species
UCCCCGUUUUCCGGGGCAGUCCCUGUAGAGUUCCCGGCAUGACCCGCUGGCAACUACAGGCAAGGGUUGCGCUCGUUGCGGGACUUAACCCAACAUCUCACGACACGAGCCGACAACAGCCAUGCAGCACCUUGCUCCUUGUCCUUGCGGAACGAUCCGUCUCCGGACCCAUCAAGGGCAUUCUAGCCCAGGUAAGGUUCCUCGCGUAUCAUCGAAUUGAACCACAUGCUCCACCGCUUGUGCGGGCCCCCGUCAAUUCCUUUGAGUUUUAAUCUUGCGACCGUACUCCCCAGGCGGGAUGCUUAAUGCGUUAGCUGCGCCACUGACAGGCAAGCCUGCCAACGGCUAGCAUCCAUCGUUUACGGCGUGGACUAC